GUUUAAAGAGCGACACAUACAGGCAAAUGAGCAGUUCUUAAAGGAAGGCAGAGGCUGGGCUUGAGAUUGAAGAGAGAAGCAGAGUGAAACUAACUACUGGCAUUUAUAUACUUAUAUGCUGACAGAGCAGAAGGCUGUUACACAGCAGGGUAUAGAACCAGCUCAAUCUAAAAAUGCAACUGUGCCAGAUUAUGUUUUUAUUAUUUUUUUAUUUCCUCUCUGGCAGGGCCCAAGAAGGCCUUCAGCUAGCCUACGUGGUUUCUGUUGACAACCCUACUUAUGACCAAGAAUAUCAAUGUGUAACAGAACCGGGUAUUGAAAACACAAAUUACAGCUGGUACAGGCAGGACUGGUCUGAACUUCCAGAAGGAGUGAAAGCAGAGGGAGAUAGACUGCAUUUCUUAAAGGAGACUGCUGACCUCAAUGGUGUAUACAUUUGCAAGGUAGCAAACCAGUAUGGUGAGGCAGCAGGCUCACUCUAUUAUCACCGGAUAAACCAGAUCAAGGGAAUCCAUUCCGAGCUCUAAUUGUGAACCUCUGAAACAGCUUCCUGGAACACAGAAGAUUAAAAUCAGAUGUCGAAAAAAAAAGGAAUGGAACAUUUUAUUUCUUGAUUAUGUAUAUGAUUUGCUUUUAAUUAUACUUAUGUUAAAUUAUUGUCUAAAAAAAUAAUAAUAAAUAUAUUAUUCUCUCGACCUGCACUAUUAUUGGGAUGUUUGAAAUAGAUAAAGUGAAAACAAUGUAAGCAUGUAUUGAGUUAACUGAAUGUAGUUUAUCAGAAUGUGUGUAGUUGUACCACCGGUACGCCAAUAAAAGUACCAGUA